rnacentral:lncRNA from 1 species
UAAAUGCUUUCACGAAUGGUGGAAUUUGACUAAAUUGGUUCUUAUUUUUUAGAAGAAAAACUAGAUUUUUACAAUAUCAAUUGUGUUGGUUCAGCUAGGUUGUGGGUAUUAUGGUGCUUGAUUUUCUUUUUUUUUUUUUUUUCCCCAGAUAAGUUGUUCUCUAUUUGUUCCACUUAUUUGGUUAUAAUUGAUGUCAUAGCUUUUGAGUUGGUUCUAUUAGAGGCUUUUGGCACAAAGUUCUUAUUGGUUGAUAGUUUUCUUGCCAUCCCCUUUUCCUAGUAGCCACAUAAUGCUGAAUAUAUAAAAUUUUGCAUGUUGCAUAAUAUUUUCCUCUUAUUUGUGAAUUGUCCUCAUCUUGCCUCGUACUUUCGCU